AUUCAGGUAUGACCUAAAUCAAAUCCAUUACGAUUAUACAGUGGAAGUGACAAAUAGAUACAAGGGAUUAGAUCUGAUAGACAGAGUGUCUGAUGGACCAUGGACAGAGGUUCGUGACAUUGUACAGGAGACAGGGAUCAAGACUAUCCCCAAGAAAAAGAAAUGCAAAAAAGCAAAAUGGCUGUCUGAAGAGGGCUUACAAAUAGCUGUGAAAAGAGGAGAAGCAAAAAGCAAAGCAGAAAAGGAAUGAUAUACCCAUUUAAAUGCAGAGUUCCAAAGAAGAACAAAGAGAGAUAAGAAAUCCCUCCUUGGUGAUCAGUGCAAAGAAAUAGAGGAAAACAAUAGAAUGGGAAAGACUAGAGAUUUCUUCAAGAAAAUUAGAGAUACCAAGGGGACAUUUCAUGCAAAGAUGGGCUCAAUAAAGGACAGAAAUGGUAUGAACCUAACAGAAGGAGAAGAGACUAAGAAGAGGUGGGAAGAAUAUACAGAAGAACUAUCCAAAAAAGAUCUUCAUGACCCAGAUAAUCAUAAUGGUAAUAUCACUCAACUAGAGCCAGAAAUCCUGGAUGGUGAAAUUAGGUGGGCCUUAGGAAGCAUCACUAUGAACAAAGCUAGUGGAGGUGAUGGAAUUCCAGUUGAGCUAUUCCAAAUCCUAAAAGAUGAUGCUGUCAAAGUACUGCUCUCCAUAUGCCAGCAAAUUUGGAAAACUCAGCAGUGGCCACAGGACUGGAAAAGGUCAGUUUUCAUUCCAAUCCCAAAGAAAGGCAAUCCCAAAGAAUUUUCAAACUACCAUGCAAUUGCACUCAUCUCACACUCUAGUAAAGUAAUGCUCAAAAUUCUCCAAGCCAGGCUUCAGCAAUAUGUGAACCAUGAACUUCCAGAUGUUCAAGCUGGUUUUAAAAAAGGCAGAGGAACCAGAGAUCAAAUUGCCAACUCUUGCUGGAUCACAAAAAAGCAAGAGUUCCAGAAAAACAUGCAUUUCUGCUUUAUUGACUAUGCCAAAGCCUUUGACUGUGUGGAUCAC
rnacentral:lncRNA from 1 species